CGGAGCCGGCGGGUCCCGGCUGCCCGAGACAGUCACUGCCCUGACGGCGGCGGUGGCGGCCGCUGGCCGGUGGGGGUGGGGAGCGGCACGGCCCGGGCUGCUGGGGCAGCUGGAGCUGGCCGUCGCCGGGAGCCAAGAGGCGGAUCUGCAGCUGGGAGCGCACCCCAGGCCGGCAGAGGAGGCGGCUGCAGCCGGAUCCGGGAGCGCUGCUGGUGGCGGCGUCUCGCGCAGCCAGUGCCUGAGGCGGCGGCGGGGCCCGAGGGUGAAAAGGUUCCAAAAAUCGAUAUUAAAUUAUUAAAAUCGGCUGAUUGGGAAUUGCAACCAGAGAAGAAAAUAAUGCAAAAGGGAAAUAGAACSAGUAUCUUUGAGGGUUACUUAUGGAAAUUGUGGAUUACCUGGACAUCUUAAGACCCAGGAACCCGUUUAUUAAGAAUCUGCUGUCUUGAAAAAUGCAUUUUAUGAAUGCUUUGAAUUAAGAAGGUGUAAACAGUGGUUUGUCAUUUCUGCCACAUAAGAGAUAAUCUGAAUCUUCCCUCGCAGUUGCCCAGAUGCCUAAAACUGGCAAGAACUAGUACUUGGAGUGGUCAUCCUUCAACAGGAAAUACAGAGCUACCUAUGUACUAUAUAAAUGUUAUCUCUUUGAUAACAUUUAAGAUAAUGGACUGCUUUUCUACAUCUAAUUUUCAUACACACAAUUAACACUUGGAGUCUGGAGAAGCAUUUGUUAUGUAUUGAAAGACUGAGUUUUCUCUUUUUGAGUUUUCCAGAUUUAUUAUUUCAUCUGUAUGUUUGAAAUCUCUACAGUCACAUAAACUCCAGACAUAACGAUGGAGCUAUAUGACCCAUCAAGAUAUACAAAAACUAUUGGCAAGCUUUGGAACCAGUUGUUUUUGCAUCUGUUCAACAAUUAAUAUAUUCUCUGCUAAUCAAGAAUAUGGAAGCAAAUAUAGUCAUGCACAUUGUAUUGAUAAAUUGUGACUGUUGAAUUUUUCUGUAACUGGUUACUUUUGUCAUUCAAAUGCAAGUUAUGUCCAAAUGGAUAUAAAGACUAUAUUGGUGUACCUAGCUCCUAGCCAGUG
rnacentral:lncRNA from 1 species